UACGGGGGGGGCAAGCGUUGUUCGGAAUUACUGGGCGUAAAGGGCUUGUAGGUGGCCAACUAAGUCAGACGUGAAAUCCCUCGGCUUAACCGGGGAACUGCGUCUGAUACUGGAUGGCUAGAGUGUGGGAGAGGGAUGCGGAAUUCCAGGUGUAGCGGUGAAAUGCGUAGAUAUCUGGAGGAACACCGGUGGCGAAGGCGGCAUCCUGGACCACGACUGACACUGAAAAGCGAAAGCCAGGGGAGCGAACGGG
rnacentral:rRNA from 1 species